UCUGUGGUAGUCUAGUGGUUAAGAUUCGGUGCUCUCACUGCCAUGGCCCAGGUUUGUUUCCUGGUCAGGGAA
rnacentral:tRNA from 1 species